GAUGAACGCUAGCGGCAGGCCUAACACAUGCAAGUCGAGGUGCAGCACAUAAAGUGGUUUACUACUUUUGGUGGCGACCGGCGGACGGGUGCGUAGCGCGUAUGCAACCUGCCUCCAACAGGGGGAUAACGGAGAGAAAUUUCCACUAAUACCCCAUAAUAUCAGAAUCGGCAUCGGUUUUGGUUGAAAACUCCGGCGCUUGGAGAUGGGCAUGCUUUGUAUUAGAUAGUUGGUGAGGUAACGGCUCACCAAGUCAACGAUACAUAGGGGGACUGAGAGGUUAGCCCCCCACACUGGUACUGAGACACGGACCAGAGUCCUACGGGAGGCAGCAGUGAGGAAUAUUGGUCAAUGGGGGCAACCCUGAACCAGCCAUGCCGCGUGCAGGAAGACGGCUCUAUGAGUUGUUAACUGCUUUUACAAGGGGAUAAAUCGGUGUACGUGUACACCGUUGAAGGUACCUUGGGAAUAAGGAUCGGCUAACUCCGUGCCAGCCGCCGCAGUAA
rnacentral:rRNA from 1 species